UGAAGUGGAGUUUUAAACUUUAGUUUUUGAUACUAACAAAGGCAAUUAAAUUUGCCCAUUUCAC
rnacentral:tRNA from 1 species